rnacentral:lncRNA from 1 species
AUAAGGCAUUUGGAUUAGAAUCAAAUGGGGGUGCAGAAAUUUGCUGGGCAUGGAAAAUUGAGGAUUCCAAAUGGGGUUGCAUGAAAGAAUUAGUCUGCAAUUGCAAUGGAUCUUUGUUCUGAUUAGACAAUGAUGGUUGGUUUACAAGGUUCUGUGGAUUCUUAGGGCUCUUAGCUAGCUUUUCCUCAUCACCCUGUCCAGUAGAGGUCAACUGGCUUAACUGAUCUGCUGUAUGCACAGGUUCUAUGUUCGAUUUUUCAGCAUUUCCAGAUGGUGUUUGAUUUUCCAAUUUGUUCAGAGGUUGCACUUGUCCUACUAGAUUUGGUUGUGAUGGUAAAUCAGAGUUUGUUGCAUCAGGUUGAUCGAGGCAGGGCUGAGGAUGAUUUUGA